AACCCGGGGAACUGAAACAUCUCAGUACCCGGAGGAAAGGACAUCAACCGAGACUCCGCUAGUAGUGGCGAGCGAACGCGGACCAGGCCAGUGCCUCAAUUGAAUUAACCGGAACCGUCUGGAAAGUCGGGCCGUAGCGGGUGACAGCCCCGUACGGGUAGUGCUCGAUAUGAUCCUCGAGUAGGGCGGGGCACGUGAAACCCUGCCUGAACGUGGGGGGACCACCCUCCAAGCCUAAGUACUCCUUGCCGACCGAUAGCGAACCAGUACCGUGAGGGAAAGGUGAAAAGCACCCCGAUGAGGGGAGUGAAAUAGAGCCUGAAACCGAAUGCCUACAAUCUGUGGGAGCCUCCUUGAGGGGUGACCGCGUACCUUUUGUAUAAUGGGUCAGCGAGUUAAUUUUGCGAGCAAGCUUAAGCCGUUAGGUGUAGGCGUAGCGAAAGCGAGUCUUAAUAGGGCGACUAAGUUUGUUGGAUUAGACCCGAAACCGAGUGAUCUAGGUAUGAGCAGGUUGAAGGUGCAGUAACAUGCACUGGAGGACCGAACCCACGCCUGUUGAAAAAGGCGGGGAUGACUUGUGCCUAGGGGUGAAAGGCCAAUCAAACUCGGAAAUAGCUGGUUCUCCGCGAAAUCUAUUUAGGUAGAGCG
rnacentral:rRNA from 1 species